GUAUGCCUCCUCCCCGCUCCUAGGUGUUCCCUGACGUCACUUCCGCUGGGCGGGUCACCUUCGUUUCUUUUAUCUGUUGGAAAGGGAGCGCUCGCCUGCACUCCGAAUUUAGCUUCUGUACGGUUGGGUGUGUGGUCAGUCACUAGAAAACAUGGAGUCCGAAACCAAGUAUCUGCCCGAGCUGAUGGCCGAGAAGGACAGCCUGGACCCGUCUUUCACACACGCUAUGAGCCUGCUAGCGAGCGAAAUUGAAAGACUAAAGAAGGGAGGUGACCCCAAAAAGGAUGAAGAGGACACCUAUUUAGACUUGUUUUCUCACAAGAACAUGAAGCUGAAGGAGCGAAUUUUGAUUCCAGUCAAACUCUACCCCAAGUUUAACUUUGUUGGCAAGAUUUUGGGCCCUCAAGGAAAUACCAUCAAAAGACUGCAGGAAGAAACUGGAGCAAAAAUAUCUGUGUUGGGAAAAGGAUCGAUGCGGGAUAAGGCCAAGGAGGAAGAACUACGAAAGGGCGGGGACCCGAAAUAUGGUCACUUAAACAUGGACCUUCAUGUUUUCAUUGAAGUUUUUGGGCCACCUUGUGAGGCAUAUACCCGAAUGGCACAUGCUAUGGAGGAAGUAAAGAAGUUCUUGGUACCGGAUAUGAUGGAUGAUAUUUGUCAGGAGCAAUUUUUUGAGCUGUCAUAUCUGAAUGGAGCCCCAACAGAGGUGGCCCGUGGAGGAAGAGGAGGACCUGUCCGUGGCAGAGGAGUACCGCCUUCUGCAGCUCCACCAGCAAGAGGAAGAGCUGGUGCUAUACGUCCUCUUGUUCCAAGAGGAGCCCCAGGAAGAGGAGCAAUUUCACGCGGUGCUAGUGUUAGCCGAAGUGUAGCACCUGCAUCUGCAUCCAGGGGAGCACCUUCUGGUAGGGCUCGUGCUGGUUCAAUACAAAGGAUCUCUCUUCCACCACCUGCACCUGAAGCCUAUGAUGACUAUGGCUAUGAUGAUGCAUAUGCAGAGCAAAGCUAUGAAGCUUACGAGAGUUAUUAUAGCCAGAGCCCAGGAGAUACAGAGUAUUAUGACUAUGGGCACGGCGAGGGUCCAGAAUCUUAUGAAAGUUAUGGGCAAGACAAUUGGAAUGGUUCCCGGCCAUCUUUGAAAGUACCAUCUUCUCACCCUGCUAAAGGCAGUGCCUACAGAGACCACCCAUACAGACGUUUCUAAGCUUUCCACUCAUCCAAUUAUUUCUGAUAUCUUGUGUCCAAGGACUUCCUGUUCCUUAUCCCACAACACAAGUGUUGGUUGGAAAUAUGUCAACAGUUUGAUUAUACAGGACAGUUAAUGAACAGUGCUACAUGGCCUUUCUUUAAACCUGACUUGCAGAAUUUGUAGUGAAUCGGUGAAUAUGGCAGGCACAGAGUUAAACUAAAUACUGUGAAGGCAAGAAUAUGAAGAUCUGACUUUCCACAGGUGCAGAAAGGUGAAUAUCAAAUCAAAAGUCGUCGCAUACCCUCCUUUGUCUUUGCAGCUUGGAAGAAACCUGUGAAAUUAUUGAUGCAUUCACAAUUGCUUGAAGCAAUUUUCUAAAAUAUAUAUAAACUAUAGCUGUUGAUAUAUACUGUGUAUGUAGAUAUAUACUGUGUAUAUAUUCAUAUUUUCACACAAGUUAUAUAUUAUAUAUUUUCACACAGAAAUACCUGCAAGAAACUGCUGAAACAGUUGUCAAAGGAGAUAGGACUUGUAAUUGUGUGUAUUUAUUUUUUACUCUUUUUGGUAAAAUAAAGUGUGCAUGGGAGAUUU